rnacentral:rRNA from 1 species
GACGAACGCUGGCGGCGUGCCUAAUACAUGCAAGUAGAACGCACAGUUUAUACCGUAGCUUGCUACACCAUAGACUGUGAGUUGCGAACGGGUGAGUAACGCGUAGGUAACCUGCCUGGUAGCGGGGGAUAACUAUUGGAAACGAUAGCUAAUACCGCAUAAUAUUGAUUAUUGCAUGAUAAUUAAUUGAAAGGUGCAAUUGCACCACUACCAGAUGGACCUGCGUUGUAUUAGCUAGUAGGUGAGGUAACGGCUCACCUAGGCGACGAUACAUAGCCGACCUGAGAGGGUGAUCGGCCACACUGGGACUGAGACACGGCCCAGACUCCUACGGGAGGCAGCAGUAGGGAAUCUUCGGCAAUGGACGAAAGUCUGACCGAGCAACGCCGCGUGAGUGAAGAAGGUUUUCGGAUCGUAAAGCUCUGUUGUAAGAGAAGAACGGGUGUGAGAGUGGAAAGUUCACACUGUGACGGUAUCGUACCAGAAAGGGACGGCUAACUACGU